GACGGGGCCGAGCUGCAAAUCAUUUCCUUUCUGCAAGCUGCAGCGUGCCCCCAGCCAGCCACCGAGCUGGGGCUGUCCCUGCGCGGCUGCGUGACACCAGCGCGGAUGUCCCAGCAGGGGAAGGGGAAUUCAGACUCUGCUUCUUGCUGUACUAAAAGCAGUGACACGGUGGUGGCCCCAGCAGAGCACUGGGCCAUGAGGCUGGCAGCGUUGGAGCCGCAUCAUGCUGAGCCACUGGGAUAGCAGCUUGGGAGCACCAGGACACUGCAGCCCUCCAGGUCCCUGCGCACCCAGGACACGUUUCCUAUCUGGUGGAGAUGGCCAGGGGAAGCUGCUCUGCUCACUGCCAGCCUUGCCUAGAGCCGUGGUGGAGACCCAGCAGAGACAUGGUGCCCUUGGCUGCUCAGUAGUCGGUGUAGGAUCUGUCUGACGGUCUCACUAACAGCUACAUCUGAUUACUGGGUCACCAAAGGGUGACCAUACUGCACCUGCAGGAGCUGCCUUCUGGUCUGCUGGGUACAGGGCAACUGGGGCUUUCUGGGAGCAUGGUGGGGGCAGAGGGGAGCCCUGAUCCUUCACGGUGCCAUGAGGCUUUGGCUGCCCAGGAGGAGCUUUCCAGUCGCCAGAGAGUUAAUAAACACUCGUGGAGUGCA